AGGGCCAAGAAGAACGCCAAGAAAAAGG
rnacentral:piRNA from 1 species